rnacentral:rRNA from 1 species
UACGUAGGCAGCGAGCGUUGUUCGGAAUUACCGGGCGUAAAGAGUGUGUAGGCGGUGCUCUAAGUUCGGUGUGAAAUCUCCCGGCUUAACUGGGAGGGUGCGCCGGAAACUGGAGUGCUCGAGCGUGGGAGAGGAAAGCGGAAUUCCUGGUGUAGCGGUGAAAUGCGUAGAUAUCAGGAGGAACACCUGCGGUGUAGACGGCUUUCUGGACCAUUGCUGACGCUGAGACACGAAAGCGUGGGUAGCAAACAGG